GGAUGUGAUGAUAGUAAUUGUCGCCCCAGUCUUAAUUUGCACUUUCAAGUGUAACAUGGUGACUGACUUAUUAUCUGAUCC
rnacentral:snoRNA from 1 species